GGUUAAGCGACUAAGCGUACACGGUGGAUGCCCUGGCAGUCAGAGGCGAUGAAGGACGUGCUAAUCUGCGAAAAGCGUCGGUAAGGUGAUAUGAACCGUUAUAACCGGCGAUGUCCGAAUGGGGAAACCCAGUGCAAUUCGUUGCACUAUCGUUAACUGAAUACAUAGGUUAACGAGGCGAACCGGGGGAACUGAAACAUCUAAGUACCCCGAGGAAAAGAAAUCAACCGAGAUUCCCCCAGUAGCGGCGAGCGAACGGGGAGCAGCCCAGAGUCUGAAUCAGCUUGUGUGUUAGUGGAACGGUCUGGAAAGUCCGACGGUACAGGGUGAUAGUCCCGUACACCAAAAUGCACAGGCUGUGAACUCGAAGAGUAGGGCGGGACACGUGGUAUCCUGUCUGAAUAUGGGGGGACCAUCCUCCAAGGCUAAAUACUCCUGACUGACCGAUAGUGAACCAGUACCGUGAGGGAAAGGCGAAAAGAACCCCGGCGAGGGGAGUGAAAAAGAACCUGAAACCGUGUACGUACAAGCAGUGGGAGCACCUUCGGGUGUGACUGCGUACCUUUUGUAUAAUGGGUCAGCGACUUAUAUUCUGUAGCAAGGUUAACCGUAUAGGGGAGCCGCAGGGAAACCGAGUCUUAACUGGGCGUUAAGUUGCAGGGUAUAGACCCGAAACCCGGUGAUCUAGCCAUGGGCAGGUUGAAGGUUGGGUAACACUAACUGGAGGACCGAACCGACUAAUGUUGAAAAAUUAGCGGAUGACUUGUGGCUGGGGGUGAAAGGCCAAUCAAACCGGGAGAUAGCUGGUUCUCCCCGAAAGCUAUUUAGGUAGCGCCUCGUGAACUCAUCUUCGGGGGUAGAGCACUGUUUCGGCUAGGGGGUCAUCCCGACUUACCAACCCGAUGCAAACUACGAAUACCGAAGAAUGUUAUCACGGGAGACACACGGCGGGUGCUAACGUCCGUCGUGAAGAGGGAAACAACCCAGACCGCCAGCUAAGGUCCCAAAGUCAUGGUUAAGUGGGAAACGAUGUGGGAAGGCACAGACAGCCAGGAUGUUGGCUUAGAAGCAGCCAUCAUUUAAAGAAAGCGUAAUAGCUCACUGGUCGAGUCGGCCUGCGCGGAAGAUGUAACGGGGCUAAACCAUGCACCGAAGCUGCGGCAGCGACACUAUGUGUUGUUGGGUAGGGGAGCGUUCUGUAAGCCUGCGAAGGUGACCUGUGAGGGUUGCUGGAGGUAUCAGAAGUGCGAAUGCUGACAUAAGUAACGAUAAAGCGGGUGAAAAGCCCGCUCGCCGGAAGACCAAGGGUUCCUGUCCAACGUUAAUCGGGGCAGGGUGAGUCGACCCCUAAGGCGAGGCCGAAAGGCGUAGUCGAUGGGAAACAGGUUAAUAUUCCUGUACUUGGUGUUACUGCGAAGGGGGACGGAGAAGGCUAUGUUAGCCCGGGCGACGGUUGUCCCGGUUUAAGCAUGUAGGCUGGUUGUCCAGGCAAAUCCGGAUAAUCAAGGCUGAGGUGUGAUGACGAGGCACUACGGUGCUGAAGUAACAAAUGCCCUGCUUCCAGGAAAAGCCUCUAAGCAUCAGGUAACAUCAAAUCGUACCCCAAACCGACACAGGUGGUCAGGUAGAGAAUACCAAGGCGCUUGAGAGAACUCGGGUGAAGGAACUAGGCAAAAUGGUGCCGUAACUUCGGGAGAAGGCACGCUGGUGUGUAGGUGAAGCCCCUGCGGGUGGAGCUGAGACCAGUCGAAGAUACCAGCUGGCUGCAACUGUUUAUUAAAAACACAGCACUGUGCAAACACGAAAGUGGACGUAUACGGUGUGACGCCUGCCCGGUGCCGGAAGGUUAAUUGAUGGGGUUAUCCGUAAGGAGAAGCUCUUGAUCGAAGCCCCGGUAAACGGCGGCCGUAACUAUAACGGUCCUAAGGUAGCGAAAUUCCUUGUCGGGUAAGUUCCGACCUGCACGAAUGGCGUAAUGAUGGCCAGGCUGUCUCCACCCGAGACUCAGUGAAAUUGAACUCGCUGUGAAGAUGCAGUGUACCCGCGGCAAGACGGAAAGACCCCGUGAACCUUUACUAUAGCUUGACACUGAACAUUGAGCCUUGAUGUGUAGGAUAGGUGGGAGGCUUUGAAGCGUGGACGCCAGUCUGCGUGGAGCCAACCUUGAAAUACCACCCUUUAAUGUUUGAUGUUCUAACGUUGGCCCCUUACCGGGGUUGCGGACAGUGUCUGGUGGGUAGUUUGACUGGGGCGGUCUCCUCCCAAAGCGUAACGGAGGAGCACGAAGGUUAGCUAAUCCUGGUCGGACAUCAGGAGGUUAGUGCAAUGGCAUAAGCUAGCUUGACUGCGAGCGUGACGGCGCGAGCAGGUGCGAAAGCAGGUCAUAGUGAUCCGGUGGUUCUGAAUGGAAGGGCCAUCGCUCAACGGAUAAAAGGUACUCCGGGAUAACAGGCUGAUACCGCCCAAGAGUUCAUAUCGACGGCGGUGUUUGGCACCUCGAUGUCGGCUCAUCACAUCCUGGGGCUGAAGUAGGUCCCAAGGGUAUGGCUGUUCGCCAUUUAAAGUGGUACGCGAGCUGGGUUUAGAACGUCGUGAGACAGUUCGGUCCCUAUCUGCCGUGGGCGCUGGAGAAUUGAGGGGGCUGCUCCUAGUACGAGAGGACCGGAGUGGACGCAUCACUGGUGUUCGGGUUGUCAUGCCAAUGGCACUGCCCGGUAGCUAAAUGCGGAAGAGAUAAGUGCUGAAAGCAUCUAAGCACGAAACUUGCCCCGAGAUGAGUUCUCCCUGAGACUUUAAGUCUCCUGAAGGAACGUUGAAGACGACGACGUUGAUAGGCCGGGUGUGUAAGCGCAGCGAUGCGUUGAGCUAACCGGUACUAAUGAACCGUGAGGCUUAACCUU
rnacentral:rRNA from 1 species